GUUUUAUUCUAUUCUCUGCAUAAUCUCUUAGGUAAGCAAAGUUGGACAUAUUAUAUAUUAAACCGACACUAAGUGACACCUAACUAAUUAAAAGGAAAAAUCACUUUCUGCUUUGGUCAAGCCCUGAAAAGUUUACAUAAUUGAUAAAACUAACACACCUUGUAGCUUGUAAUUGCUUGUUGAGACAGGUCAUGACAUGGGGCAAACUCUUAAAGGUCUUCUCUAGGGAAAAGAUUGGCCCCAUAUCAGCUGUCUCCACCUCUUCCCUUACCACCACCAAUUCAAACAAACACCAAGUCCAUCCACCAUUUUACGUUACCGUUCAAAUAGAUACACAUGUAUAACUAUACAAAUUAAGAGAAGGUGAAAUAGGAGUUGAUAUUUCUUGAAAUAUAUAUAUAAAAAAGUGGGCAGCUCAAAAUAACAAUCUUUUUUUUUUCAAAGACAAGGGUUUCAGUAACAUACUAUGUACACAAACAAGGCAACACACAUUCAAGUAACUUGGAGAAAGAGAAGCUAAUAUGGCAACUAAAGAAAAUCACACUCAAUUCUCAUCUGUUUGAGCAGCACUUCCAGGAGCAUUUGCCAAAGAGGACGAUGAGGUUGCGGUUGAAUUGCUUCCACUGGAUUGAGAUCCUGAGGAAGAUGAGAACAAACUAUUGAAAGGCCAGGGAAAUGAAAACCUUCUCCCAUUUCCAUUUCGUCCUUCCCCUUCUCUCUCUUCAAUGUUACUUCCAUGAUGAUGAUGACGGUGACGGUGAUGAUGAUUACUACUAUUACUACUACUGUCACUGCUACUACUAUUGUUAUCAUCAGUAUCAUUGCUCUCCCUCUGCUGAAUGCUAAUCUGAGACCUCUCAGAAUCGGACUUGGACUCAUCAGCAGGUAACUGAAACCUGCAAACUGGACAAGAACUAUGAAGUUCCAGCCAU
rnacentral:misc_RNA from 1 species